GUUUUUUUUAAAUAUCUUAAUUGAUAUUGUUGUGUUUGUGUAGUACAAAACUGUUAAUAAAACAGUAUUUUAUUUACUAUGUUUAUAAACAGGACAAAAAAAAAGAAGAUUUUUUAGAAAAUCCUCUUUAACUCUAGUCUCAGAUAGGAGGCAAAGCUACUGCUUGGAUUCAAAGCUUGAAAUGUGUCUUUUAUAAAGAUGUAUGUAAUUAAACAGCAACAGGUAACCCUUUCCAUGCCAGAGUGUCAGGGUGCCUUGCUGUCAGCCCACUCCUUUUUGUUUUAAAAAAGGCAUUGUAGAAAACAUUGUUGUUUUUCAAAGUGGUAAAUGCAAAUGCAGACCUACUGUGUACUAUAUCCUCAUAGGAUUAUUAUUAUUAUUAUGUAUGUGUUAAAUGCACUAGUACUGUAAUGUCUACUGAUUUUAAAAAUCAGACUAAAGAAAUAUGGC